rnacentral:piRNA from 1 species
UGAUCUGAUAUACCAAACUGU